ACGGGUGAGAAACGCGUGAGAAUCUGCCCUUUAGUGAAGAAUACCUCCGAGAAAUCGGGGUUAAUACUGCAUAAGUCCCUCCGGGGAGAAAGAUGGCCUCUUUGCUGUCGCUAAAGGAUGAGCUUGCGUACUAUUAGCUAGUUGGUAGGGUAAUGGCCUACCAAGGCGAUGAUGGUUAACCGGCCUGAGAGGGUGUACGGUCACAUUGGAACUGAGAAACGGUCCAGACUCCUACGGGAGGCAGCAGUGGGGAAUAUUGCGCAAUGGGCGAAAGCCUGACGCAGCGACGCCGCGUGAAGGAUGAAGGUCUUCGGAUUGUAAACUUCUGUUAAGUGGGAAAAAAGCAUCAUUCCUAAUACGAAUGGUGGAUGAUGGUACCACUAGAGAAAGCACCGGCUAAUCUCGUGCCAGCAGCCGCGGUAAUACGAGAGGUGCAAGCGUUAUUCGGAAUAAUUGGGCGUAAAGGGUGCGUAGACGGUUUGUUAAGUCUGUUGUUAAAUCUUUCGGCUUAACCGAAAAUCAGCAAUGGAUACUGGCAGGCUAGAGUGUGAAAGAGAGAAGUGGAAUUCUUGGA
rnacentral:rRNA from 1 species